UACGUAGGGUGCAAGCGUUGUCCGGAAUUAUUGGGCGUAAAGAGCUCGUAGGCGGUUUGUCGCGUCUGCUGUGAAAACUCGGGGCUUAACCCCGGGCCUGCAGCCGAUACGGGCAGGCUAGAGUUCGGUAGGGGAGACUGGAAUUCCUGGUGUAGCGGUGAAAUGCGCAGAUAUCAGGAGGAACACCGGUGGCGAAGGCGGGUCUCUGGGCCGAUACUGACGCUGAGGAGCGAAAGCGUGGGGAGCGAACAGG
rnacentral:rRNA from 1 species